rnacentral:rRNA from 1 species
AGAGUUUGAUCCUGGCUCAGAACGAACGCUGGCGGCAGGCCUAAAACAUGCAAGUCGAGCGCCCUAGCAAUAGGGAGCGGCGCACGGGUGAGUAACACGUGGGAAUAUGCCUUUUGGUACGGAAUAGCUUCGGGAAACUGGAAUUAAUACCGUAUGGUCCCUUCGGGGUAAAGAUUUAUCGCCAAAAGAGUAGCCCGCGUUGGAUUAGCUAGUUGGUAGGGUAAUGGCCUACCAAGGCGACGAUCCAUAGCUGGUCUGAGAGGACGAUCAGCCACACUGGGACUGAGACACGGCCCAGACUCCUACGGGAGGCAGCAGUUAGGAAUAUUGGACAAUGGGCGCAAGCCUGAUCCAGCCAUGCCGCGUGAGUGAUGAAGGCCUUCGGGUUGUAAAGCUCUUUAGUCCACGAAUAUAAUGACUGUAGUGGAAGAAUAAGCCCCGGCUAACUUCGUGCCAGCAGCCGCGGUAAUACGAGGGGGGCGAGCGUUGUUCGGAAUCACUGGGCGUAAAGAGUGCGUAGGCGGCCAUGAAAGUUAGAAGUGAAAGCCCAGGGCUUAACCUUGGAAUUGCUUUUAAAACUACAUGGCUCGAAUUCGGGAGAGGAUAGCGGAAUUCUCAGUGUAGCAGUGAAAUGCGUAGAUAUUGAGAGGAACACCAGUGGCGUAAGCGGCUAUCUGGACCGACAUUGACGCUGAGGCACGAAAGCGUGGGGAUCAAACAGGAUUAGAUACCCUGGUAGUCCACGCCGUAAACGAUGUGUGUUUGUCGCUGGGGAGUUCACUCUUCGGUGACGGAGCUAACGCGUUAAACACACCGCCUGGGAAGUACGGUCGCAAGAUUAAAACUCAAAGGAAUUGACGGGGACCCGCACAAGCGGUGGAGUAUGUGGUUUAAUUCGUCGCAACGCGAAGAACCUUACCAGGCCUUGACAUGCCCUCUAUGAUGCUCAGAGAUGAGCGUCUUCACUUCGGGUGGGGAGGGACAC